AUUUCAGGAACCUCAACAAUAGAUGUUUGCUGCUUUUUUAUUUCUUCACAUUCAGCUUUUUUCCAGAACUCUUUCCUCAGAGAGUUGUUAAUCCUGGAGUUCUGCCGUGUUGUCCAGGGUCCAGUUUGGAUGUGGACACAGUCUGAAGGGAUGCCAGUUAAUUGUUACACACAACCGCAAACAGAAUCUUUGACCUGGCCUUCAUCAUCCAGCGUUUCACGAGAAGCAUCUCUCCUAACCGGACCCGACGUCCAAACUGAAGAUCCAGAAUGCCGGUUCUGUUCCAGAACGCCGCUCUGCUCCUGGUGCUGCUCAGCUGCGGCCCGGCUUCUGCUGCAGACGACUGCGACCUGCCGCUGAAGGUGGACAGACACGACCUGCACCAGCUGUCAGAUGUCCGUUGGGUUCUGGUGGAGGCCUUCACCGACUACCCUGCAGGCCAGGAUAUUCUGAGGAACGCCAGCAGCUCCACGGUGGAGAUGAAGCACAACGGCGACAACAAAACUUUCCUCAUCACGGAAACCAUCAAAAAAAACGAGAAAUGCAUCUUCUUCCGAUUCAACAUGUCGAUUCCGGACCCCGACACGUCCAACCACAGCUUACAUCUGGUCAGUGCAGGAGUGAAAGAGGUGGACGGCGAGGUGUCUCCCUAUGACGACCAGGGCCGGGUCCACAUGCACCAGUCCAUCCAUGGCGAUCUGAUCAACCUCUACAACCACGUCUUCCAGGGAAAGCCGGCCAGGACACUGCUCAUGAAGGGAAGGGAAACACCAGGAUGUCAAUGAGCUAAAGGCUGCUUCAAGGGAACACAGGAGGAUAGCGGAGUGUCUGAAAUUCAACAUUGUAUCCGACUUCCUCUACGAUGGUAAAACAGAGUUUUGUCCGAAUGAGAAGAAAGACAAGACGGAUGACUGACACUACACAACGUCCUUUUAAAAGAUAAAUAAAUGUGUUGUUUGAUUGUUAUGUUAAAUCUUAUGAUUAAGACAUUAAUAAACAUUUAUUGAACUAAAA